GCCUUGAUGGUGAAAUGG
rnacentral:tRNA from 1 species